rnacentral:tRNA from 1 species
AAUUAAUGAACUUGAAUAAGUAUAUGUUUUGAAAACAUAAUAAAGAAAAAAAAUCUUCUAUUAAUUU